GAAAUACCCUGAUGUAUUAGGAGAAUGAAGAUUUAAAAACAAAAUUUUGUUUUCCACACAGCUUUUCAAGCAUAUUUCAUACAGUGUUCUUGUCCUUCCUCUCUGCUGGCUGGAAUGCAAAUGUGAUGGCUAGAACUCAAGCAGCCCUCCUGGACUUCAUGUUAAAGACACAUGCUGAGGAUGAUUGAGCAACAAGAUACAAGGAGCCCAGGGCAUGAUGACUUUGGGAGGGAAGAUGCCCAACUAGUCCUGACUGCUUACCUCUGGAUGUGUUUUACAUGAGAGAAAUAAAAGUCUUUCUGGUUUAACUCAUA